GACGAACGCUGGCGGCGUGCUUAACACAUGCAAGUCGAGCGGUAAGGCUCCUUCGGGAGUACACGAGCGGCGAACGGGCGAGUAACACGUGAGCAACCUGCCCUUCUCAUCGGAAUAAGCGUUGGAAACGACGUCUAAUGCCGAAUAUGACAACGGAUCGCAUGAUCUGUUGUUGAAAGCUCCGGCGGAGAAGGAUGGGCUCGCGGCCUAUCAGCUUGGUGGUGGGGUAACGGCCCACCAAGGCGACGACGGGUAGCCGGCCUGAGAGGGUGACCGGCCACACUGGGACUGAGACACGGCCCAGACUCCUACGGGAGGCAGCAGUGGGGAAUAUUGGACAAUGGGCGCAAGCCUGAUCCAGCAACGCCGCGUGAGGGAUGGCGGCCUUCGGGUUGUAAACCUCUUUCAGCAGGGACGAAGCGAAAGUGACGGUACCUGCAGAAGAAGGACCGGCCAACUACGUGCCAGCAGCCGCGGUAAAAC
rnacentral:rRNA from 1 species